rnacentral:lncRNA from 1 species
CAGUAUGGUUAAAAAUGGGUAACUCUUUCAUUCUAAAGCACUAACAAAUAUUUAGAAACUGUCAUGCACAAUGCCAUCGAAUUGUUAUAUUGAUAUGAUUGCUAGUGGUAUAUUUGAAGUCUGUUACACAUUACACAAACCUCACAAAGCCUCAAAUAUCUGAUACAUGUACUUGAUGUAUUUUGAAGAGUCCAUGUCUCGUACACGCUUACUUGCACCAGAAUUCUAACAUCCAAACGAAAGGGAAAACAACGAAAUAAUGUCUCAGUUUCGGUCCUCAAACGUACAGGGAAAGCACAUGUUACACGAAAACUGAAAAACACGAGAAUUACUAAUUAUGUUGGAUCUUCAUAUAUGUCAAACAAACACCAUGUCCAAAAACAUAGUAGUAUAGCACCGUGUCAUACAUAACACAAUGUUAUAGUUAAAGAACAAAUACAUUGCUUCAUUAGUUUUUUUUUAUCAAUUUUUGACAAUUGUAUAGGCACUCAUAGUAUUACCAUAAUGCCAAAAAAAUGUAUUAAUGAUGAUGAAAAUGAUUUAUCGGAUGCUAGUACUUAACAAAUCAUGCAAAGCCUCAAUCCAUAUAAUAGAAUGCAAUAAAUGGAGAAGCCAUAAAUAUAAACACCGUGAGAUAUAGUCCACAAAAUGAAGUCAUAGCCCCUCCCAUUGAAUGCAAAGUCCCAUAAUCUGAAGGUCUUCAUAUAACUCCUUUGCACUUUCAACAGUAUUUAAAAUUGUAGGGCGCAAAAUUUUGUUGUGCUAAGCAGAAUAAAAUACAUGAUACACCUAAAAUAAUGCAAGAAGCAUGACAACAAAAAUUGAACUCUGCCAAGAACUGCAUACACCAAAUUCAUUAUCACAUUACCAUUGAACCAUAGGUACCAGGAUUAUCACAUUUAAGCUUCUUCCAGUUUAGGUCUUCAGUCCAGUUAUAUUUAUUGAAUGUUCAAUAUAUUCACACAAACAAAAAUUAGCACUUAAAUGCUCUUUUUAACAGUCGUUGCAAUCUUAUAAAUAUUUGCGACAGGAAUCUGGAUAAUAGUGAGAUAUAAGAAUUUAGACAUACUUAAUAGUUGAUUUCAACAUUGCAUAAACUAUCAACCAAAUAAGUAAUUAUCUUUCCACAACUCUUUUAUAGGAAAUAGUAUUGCCCGAGAUAAAAAAAUCUCGCACUUAGCUAAAAAUUCAUAUGUUUGUCAGAUUGAAAACUAACAUAACAUAAAGGAAUUUAGCUCCUAUAUUAAAUAAAAAUGAAAAGAAUUAGAGUAAAACACAUACGAAAUGGACUUACAUAGAAUUUUAAAUACUGUCAUCCAAAAAGUGAAAGACAAACCUAUUAUACUCUUAUUUAAAAGUUUUUCAAUGGUUAUACAUGAUUAUAUAUACACAGAAAAAAAUGAAUAUACAUAAACUCUACUCAGUACAUGUAUUAAUAAAAUUUCGAGUUGAAGGUAUAAUAAAAACUAAAUAAUUUUGUAGGGGGUAGUGUUGAGAGUUUACCGGUUUAUUGUUGUCUUUGUAACUGGAAUUUGGCUCGAUUGAGAUAGCUUUUUAAAUACAGAUCAUAGAUUUACCUAAAAAGAUUCAAAUAGAUUAUAGUAAAAAUUUCAUGAGAUAUAAUAAUAAAAUAAUUAGAGUUUACACUAAUAAUAAGCAACAAAAAGAUAAUAGCCAGAAACAGUCAAACCUUUCUACAUUAAAUUGUGAAAAACUUUCUGAAAAACUACAUUCUUUGUAGUAUUGUAUGUUUGUCCAUCUUUGUCAUAAAUUAGUAUUUUUACUCCACUCUUGCUUGUAACUCUUGAUACUGCUACAUACAAUUGGUCAUGGCUAAAAACUGGACGUGAAAGAUACAGUCCAACAUGUGAUCAGAGAGAUUGCCCCUAGCUUUUAUUAAUUGUCAUGAAAAAGCAAACAACCAAAGAAAAUUCUUUGUUAGAAUUUAAAAGGUAAUCUAAUGUUUGACGGUGUUAAGACCAAGCGAGGUAUGAAAACUUUGUGUUCAAAAUUGCCGACUGAAAUUACUUUUGCUUCUAUCAGAUGUUUUCCCAAUCGAGUUACUAUUAAUCUCGUGACAUUGCACAAACCAGAUCAUUGAUCUAUAUUUCGGAGCAACAUUACAAGAACCCCAAUCUUCAACGUUAUCUUGUGGUUUGACAUUCCAGAAGAUGUAAUGAUAUUCAAAAAUUAUAGGGUGUAAAUGCCUUCAUAGCUGUUUGAGGUUUAUCAACCUUACAUAGGACAUAUUAGAUAUGGUACUUCAUCGCCCGGCCAUAAAUACAUCACAUAUUCGUUCACCUUAUUUAUAACAUCAAGUGUAGGAGCAAGGAUGACUUGGUCUUGGAAAUAAAAGACAUCGUCAAAAAUUUUCAAUAAAUUAGGAUAUGUGACAUCAACAAUUGUUGCAAGGGGAUUGAUCGGAUAUUUGAUAAGAAAAUUAGGAUAAAUAACGGGGAGUAAUAGUAAUAGCUCAAUAAUGAUAAUAUAAUAAAGUAGUGAUUUUAGGAGAUAAUAAUUAAAUUAGAAAGUAUAAUAUUAGAACAGUUUACAUUAAUAAAAUAGUUUAGAUUUGUAGUGAUUUAAGGGAUUAUUCAUUUAAAAUAUUAAUUUGGGAUUAAAAAAGUAGUGAUUUUAGUAUAUAAUAAUUAAUUUAGUAAUGAUAAUAUUAGAAUAGUUAACAUUAUUGGAACAGUUUAGAUGUGUAGUGAUUUAAGGGAUUAUAAAAUCAAAAUAAUAAUGUAGGAUUAAAAAGUAAUGAUUUUGAAAGAUAAUAAUUACGUUACGAUAAUAUAAAAACUGUUUAGAUUGAAAAAGUAGUGAUUUAGUGGAUUAUAAAAUCAACAUAGUAACUUAUGAUUUAUAUUAUUUGUUAUUUUAAUUUUGUUUUAAAUGUUUUAAAUUGUAUAAUAUUAUUUUGUAAUAUAAUUAUAAAUGGUAUAAUAUUAUGUUGUAAUAUAAUUAAAUUAGUAAUGAUAAUAUCUGCACAGUUUAGAUAAGUAGUGAUUUUAUUACAUACGUGUAUUAUAAUAUUACACCAUACAUGUAUGAUAUAAUGUAUGGUAUAAUUAUGAAUGUUAUAAUAUUAGAAAAGUAAUUAUUUUAGGAUAUAAUAAUUAUGUUUUAACAUAAUUAAAUUAGUAACAGUUUAGAAAAGUAGUGGAUUUUAGGGUUUAUAAAAUAAACAUAUUAGUGCAGGAUUAUAUAUAUGUAUGAUAAUGUAUGGUAUAAGAUUAUAAAUGGUAUAUAAUACUGUAAAAUUCUAAAAAAAUAGAUUUAUUGGGUUGUCACGGUUAGUAAUGUUGGAACUUAUAUAUAUAUAUGCAUAGUAUAAUAUUAUAAAAAGUAUAAUAUUAUAAAAUUCAAAAAUCGGUGUAAUUAUGUAACAGUUGACAUUACAAAAAUAGUUUAGAUUUAUAGUGAUUUAGUAGAUUAUAAAUUCAAAAUAUUAAUUUGGGAUUAAAAAAUAGUGAUUUUAGGAGAUAAUAAUUAAAUUAGAAAUGAUAAUAUCAGAAAAGUUGACAUUAUCAAAACAAUUUAGAUUUGUAGUGAUUUAGGGGAUUAUAAAAUAAAAAUAUUAAUUUGGGAUUAAAAAAAUAGUGAUUUUAGGAGAUAAUAAUUAAAUUAGAAAGAAUAAUAUCAGAACAGUUGACAUUACCAAAACAAUUUAGAUUUAUAGUGAUUUAGUGGAUUAUAAAUUUAAAAUAUUCUUUUGGAAUUAAAAAAGUAGUGAUUUUAAAAGAUAAUAAUUAAUUUAGUAAUGAUAAUAUUAGAAAAAUUAACAUUAUCAGAACAUUUUAGAUUUUGUAGUGAUUUAGGGGAUUAUAAAAUCAAAAUAAUAAUAAUAAUAUAAAAACCAUUUAGAUUGAGAAAAUAGUUAUUUAUGAGAUUAUAAAAUAAACAUAGUAAGUUUUGAUUGAUAUUACUUGUUAUUUUAAUAUUAUUUUAAAAUAAAUGUUUUAAACUAUAUAAUAUUAUGUUGUAAUAUAAUUAUAAAUGGUAUAAUAUUAUGCUAUAAUAUAAUUAAAUUAGCAAUAAUAAUAUUCGAACAGUUUGGAUAGGUAGUUAUUUUGUUAUAUACGUGUAUUAUAAUAUUAUACUAUACAUAUAUGAUACAAUGUAUGGUAUAAUUAUGAAUGGUAUAAUAUUAGAAAAGUAGUGAUUUUAGGAUAUAAUUGUUUUAAAUGUUUUAAACUGUAUAAUAUUAUGUUGUAAUAUAAUUAUAAAUGGUAGGAGUGGGCAAAAAAUCCGGUUUUUUCGGUUUUUGGGCGAACCGGACCGGUCCGAACCGAUCGGUUCGGGAUAAAUCUGAAACGGUUCGGUUUUAGUAAAAUAAUUCGGUAUAUACCGGCUAAACGGUUCCGAUUUUGGUUUAGAGUUUGAAUGGAUCGGUAGUAAUCGGACCGAACCGGUUAUACCGGUUAUUUACUAACUUACUAAUUUUUAGUUUUAAUUUUAGUUUUACAGAUCAGCAGCAUGCCAGCAUCAGUUCUCUACUUCUCUUAGUCUUAUCUCGACUUCUCUUCACUCACUCUUCUUCACUUAACUUACCACUUUUCAAAUAGAUCUAGGGUUUCUUCGUUCCCUACUUCGCUCGACAGUCACUUCGUUCGCUAUCUCGACUCUUCACUUAUCUCGACAGUCACUCACUCUUCUUCACUUAUCUCGACAGUCACUUCGUUCGCUACUUCGUGGUUUUCGCGGUCUACAGCUACCUCAGGCUAUCAGUUGUCCGCCUCUCCCUUCGAGCUCUUAGGUAAUUUACUUUCUAUUCGUUUGAUUUAAGAUCUGAACUUCAAUUUUAGGGUUUCAAACUUCAAUUUUAGUUAUGUUUCAAACUUCAAUUUAUGUACUUUCUUGUUGAUAUAUCAACCACAUAGAAAAAAAAGUAAUUAUGUGUUUUAAUCAUCCCAGCUAAUGUUGAUAAAUUAGCCCAUCUUGAACGGAUUUGCAGUUAUAAAAGUUAUUAAAACUUUCAGUUAUUAAAACUUUGUUCCUUCACUAAUUUUCUCAUGCUAAUUAUCAGUGAAACAAUAAGGAACAUUGUAUAAAUAUUAUAGCUGCCCAAUAGUGAUUACCUCAAAUAUUUACUUGCAUUAAAUUGACUGCACAUUAAAUUUCCUUAAUUGACUGCUAAGCUUUUAUGAGUUCGUUUGAUGCAGCUUCUAACUAGCUUAACUUUGACAUAUUUGACUGCUAAGCUUUCCUUAAUUGACUGCUAAGCUUUUAUGAGUUCGUUUGAAGCAGCUUCUAAUUGACUGCUAAGCUUUCCUUAAUUGUACAUUCUUUGUUAUAUUGUACUAGUUUUCAAGAGGCUUAAAAUUCUAUUUUCACUGACUGCUAAUUGACUGCUAAGCUCACUAGUUGUCACUCUGUUUUAAUGUUAAAAUUCAAUUACUAUUCUCAUGGUUAUCAACUUAAUUGUUUGUUUGUGUUUUUAUGUACAGUGAUGGAAAAUAUGGAUAAUAGUAUACCAAUAUCAUCCGAUGCAAAUCCAAUCACAGUCCCAAGCAAUGGAGGAGACAAUGGAGAAGGCGAGACACGCGGAACACAAAAGCAAAAUGAGGUUGAAGAGAUUGAGCAAAUAAUCGGUAAGACUCGUGCUACUAUAUGGGAACAUUAUAUAAGGUUUAAGCAAAAUGAUGAAAUUAAGGCAAAGUGCAAUUAUUGUGGUCAAGUUUUAAAAGCCGACUCGGGAAAGAAUGGGACAAGUGGUUUAAAAAAUCAUAAUGCAAGAUGUAAAUUGUACCCUCCUAAUAUUCAAUUAAAGGAAAGACAACAAUCACUAUUAAAUUUUCCCCAAUCAAGUAUUAAUGAAGGGGGUCAAGAGUUGGAAGGGGAAUCAACCAAUAGUGUUUGUUUAUGGAAAUUUGAUCAAGAGUUGAUUAGGAGGGCAAUUUCGUUUAUGAUAAUUGUUGAUGAACUUCCUUUUAGUCAUGUGGAGAAUAUGGGCUUUAAAUACUUGAUGUCGGUUGCAUGUCCAAAAUUUAAUGUGCCUUCACGUAGGGCCACAACUAGAGAUUGUUUGAAGCGUUUUUUAGAGGAGAAAUUGAAACUGAAAACUUACUUCAAAAAUACAUCACAAAGGGUUUCUCUUACUACCGAUACAUGGACUUCCAUACAACGAAUUAAUUAUAUGGUGUUGACUGCUCAUUAUGUUGAUGAUAAGUGGAAUUUGCAAAAGAAAAUUAUUAGCUUUGUCCCAAUUACUAGUCAUAAAGGGGAAGACAUAGGUAUGUCGGUUGAAAAUUGUUUGAGGGAAUGGGGAAUUGAUAAAGUUUUCACAAUCACAGUUGAUAAUGCUAGUUCCAAUGAUGUUGCAAUUUCCUAUUUGAAAACUCAAUUGAAAGUUUGGGGUCAUAGCAUUUGUGAUAAUAAAUUUCUCCAUGUGAGGUGUGUUGCUCAUAUAGUUAAUUUGGUUGUAUGUGAUGGGUUGAAAGAUGCAACUCCUUCGAUAUCUCGUGUUCGAUCUUUGGUUAGGUGGGUGCGACAAUCUCCUUCUAGGAUUAAAAAAUUCAAAGAAUGUGUUGAAAUUGAGAAAAUUGAAAAAAAAACUUCAUUGAUCCUAGAUGUGUCCACUAGAUGGAACUCCACUUAUUCUAUGUUGAAUGUGGCCAUAGAUUUUGAACGUGCUUUUAAUAGGCUUGCAAGCAAAGAUCCUUUAUUCAAAUUGGAAAUGGAAUCGGGUGAUGGGUGGCCUACCAUAGAAAAUUGGGGAGUUGUGAGAAAAUUGGUGGUAUUCUUGAAGUGUUUCUUUGACAUUACGGUGAAGGUUUCGGGUACAUCUUAUGUGACAUCAAAUACUUUUUUUCAUGAAUUUCUUGAUCUUGAUGAUGCUUUGAAUGAAUUGUUAUAUGAUGAGAAUGACAAUGACAUGAGAGAAAUGGCGUUGAGGAUGAGAGCAAAAUUAGAUAAAUAUUGGGGGAAUGUUGAAAAGAUGAAUAAAUUGUUGUACAUUGCGGUUGUUCUAGAUCCUAGACAUAAAUUUGUAUUUGUGGAAUUUGCUUUCAAUUCAAUGUAUGGGAGUGGGACUGAAAUGGCAAAAAAAAAUGAUAAAAUCGGUGCGUGAUGCCAUUGAGGAAUUGUUUAAAUGUUAUAGUCUCAAAUAUGAAUCACAAAGUGCACAAUCUAAUGUGUCUAGUGAAAGUUUUGAUGUGUGUGGUCGAGAAAGGACAAGGAGAAAGAUGAUGGAAAAAUUUGUAGAACACAUUGCGAACGUUCAAGGAGGAGAUAAUACCGAAUUAGACAAGUAUUUGAGUGAGCAUGUUGAUCAAAUGACUUCAAAAUAUAAUGUUUUGGGUUGGUGGAAAAAUAACUCUCCUAGAUUUCCCAUUCUCUCUCAAAUGGCUAAGGAUGUAUUGGCGGUUCCUAUAUCAAUCGUUGCUUUCGAGUCGGCAUUUAGCACCGGUGGUCGUGUACUUGAUUCAUUUAGGAGUUCUUUAACUCCUAGAAUGGUACAAGCUCUUAUUUGUGCUCAAGAUUGGCUUCGUUCAAGUAAACAAUCAAUAUCCAUAGAGGAGAACUUAGAUUCACUUUAUACAAUUGAGAAAGGUAAUCCUUCAUUUUAAAUUAUAUAGUUUUCAUUUAUAAUGUUUAUAUGUUAAUGACUUUCUUUAAUUAUUUUUAUUUUCUUUUGAUCUUAGAAUUUGCGGAAGUUUUGGAUAUGGAUGGUGGAAUUUAAUAGAAAUUUGGCACUUAGCAGUUUUUACAUCAGAUGGAUAACAGUUUUUUUUUAAACUUGGGUUUGUUUCAAGUUUCAAGUCUUUUGUUGUGUAUCACUUAGUAAUAUCCUCAUUGAUUCAGAACUGUUAAAGCUCAAUUUCAGUCAAUGCUUAUUUGUUUAUCAGUCAAUGAAACUCUUUUAUGCUUAUCAGUCAAUGCUUAUUUGUUUGUUUGUUGGUUUUCUGUUCAGUCUAUAUUACUCUGCUGCUGUUGCAUUUGGAAUUUUGGACUGCUCUGCUGCUGUUACUUUGCUGCUGCUGCUGCUGUUGAAAUCUUCUAUUUUACUCUUCUAUGGACAGCAUUUGAUUAUGAAGUUGGGUUGUUGUUGGCUUGUUACUUUACUCUGCUGCUUGCUGCUAUUUGUACUAUGGACUUUGGACUGCAUUUUAUUUGCUGGCUUGUUGUUAUCAUAACACUCUUUCUUUAUGUCAAGUUUUAGUCUUGGAUUGUAGUUGUGUAAACUGUAAGGAAAUCAUGGACUUGUGUUGUGUUACUCAUUUGGAUCAUGGACUUCAGGACUUGUGUUACUUAUUUGGAUCAGUUGAAUCAUGAAUGUGUGCUUGGAAGUUAGAUCAGUUAAAUGUUAUUGUAAUAUGCUAGUAUGGAUUUUUUUUAACUUUUCAUUGAAGCAGGGUUAAAAAGCAACCGGUACAAAUUUAGGUUCAAACCGGUACCGAACCGGUUCCGGACCGGCUAACCGGUUCGGUAAACCGGUCCAACCGGUUCCGAUAUCGGUAUCCAUUUUAGACUGAAUUCGGUAACCGGUUCGGUUCAGACCGGUUUGGUCCGGGUAAUUAUCGGUGCCCACCCUUAAUAAAUGGUAUAAUAUUAUGUUGUAAUAUAAUUAAAUUAGUGUGGGAUGCACAUUAAUUAUAUAGAACAUGUGUUACAAUGUGGAAAAGGCACAUGUCAUUCAAUGAUACUAUGUACUGCAAUUUAGUAUAGAUAAUAAUAGAUAAUAGAUAAUAGAUAAUAGAUAAUAGAUAAUAGAUAAUAAAUAAUAAAUAAUAGAUAAUAGAUAAUAGAUAUAUAUAUUCCAUUCAAAAUCUUACCACAUCAGCACAGCCUCAUAUGAGCUCACGUAAAUUGUUCAUUCCAUUUUAAUAAAAUAAUUAAACCAAUUUCAAGUUUCAUGACAAAAUUAAUUAUGAAAAUGUUUUAAAAUGUUGAUUUUUAGGGAAUAAUUGAUGGAGUUGGUUAGAAAAUAAGUUUUUAAAAGAUUUAUUAUCUUUCAUAUAUCUAACCAAUAUUGUUUUCAUAAAUCUUGGGAUGGAUUUUACAUUAUUUAAGUAUUCCAUAAUUUAUUAAUUGAUAGUUUUCCAUAAAUUGGUUAAACAAAUAAAUUCUCAUAUCUUUAGAAUCAAUUAGUGCGGUUCAAAUAAUUGAAAGAAUUUUUGGAAGCUAAUAGAUUAAAGUUUUAAAAUGAAUAUGAAAAUAAUUUUUAAUUGCAUGAAACUGGAAGUAAUUAAUUAAUCAUAGAAUAAAUUUAUUAGGCACUUGAACAUUACAAAUAAUACAAUAAUACAAGUAGCAUAGUUUGGCUCCUUAUGCGUUACCUGGGACCAAAAAUAUGGUAAAAGGAAUAGGGUAAAUUACAUAUUCUAUUACAUUUUUAAAAAUAAUUACAACAAUAGUGUACUCAUAAAAUCUUUACACAACUAAUACACUUCCAUAUUUAUUUACAAUACUAGUGCAAUUAGGAUUCCUUAAUUUAGGGAAUUAGUAUUCAAUUAGAAUUCCUAUUAGUUAUACCCAUGACUUAUUCUCUCUCCUCAUCUAUAACAACUGCACUUAAUUAUCACCCUUCUUCUUCAUUCAACGUAUUCUAUAUAUAUAUAUAUAUAUAUAUAUAUAUAUAUAUAUAUAUAUAUAUAUAUAUAUACACACACACACACACACACANNNNNNNNNNNNNNNNNNNNNNNNNNNNNNNNNNNNNNNNNNNNNNNNNNNNNNNNNNNNNNNNNNNNNNNNNNNNNNNNNNNNNNNNNNNNNNNNNNNNNNNNNNNNNNNNNNNNNNNNNNNNNNNNNNNNNNNNNNNNNNNNNNNNNNNNNNNNNUGCUGCUGCUGCUUAUCAUCAUGCUUUAUGAGAUGUUACAUAUGAAAUUCAAAAAGAAUCUUCAUUUACCAAAUCAAAUGCUUGGCUGCCAAUGCAUGCAUACCCCUCAGAUUUUCAUUGGAUCUCAUAUUAACACAAUCUACACUCUCGUUGCGGCUUUAGCUUUUCAUCAAAUCUUUGAAGGCAUGGGUGGAAGCUGGGUCUAAUUUGGCGUUGGAGCACAAAAAAAAUGGAUUUAGGAGGUGGUGGGAAUGGACGUAUUUUGUUUGAUGAGACGUGUUCAAUGUGUUCCUUCAAAUACUGGAUGAUGGUAACCAAACUAUCAUAUCAAAGUAAUCAAUCAACCUCCACACUUUUUAUUUUUUUUUAGUGUAGUUGGUAACCAAACCUUCAGAUCAAGGUAAACAAACCUUCAUACCAAGGUAACAAAACUUUCAUACCAAUAUAACCAAUUUACAUCAACACUUGCAGUUUUUUUAUAGUGCAGUUGGUAGCCGAAUCUUCAGACCAAGGUAACCAAUUCAAUUUUAUUACGUUACCAAUUUCGUUUGAAUGUGAUGCAGUUGGUAGCCAACCAUUCAUACAAAGGUAACCAUUUUAUUAUUUAUGAGUAACAAAAUAGUUAUAAAAAAAAAAUUCAGAACAGUAAAAGUUGCAUCUAUUUAUUUUUAAAUUUUUUGUAGGGCGAAUCUUCUUCUUUAUUCUCAUUGGCGUUUUGGACAACGAAGAUUCGCGGUGGUGUAGCGGCGGAGUAUGUAAGGUGUAGCGGCGGACUAUUAUUUCAAAGUGUAUGUGAGGGAGAUGAAGAUUUGGAUUUGAAUAUUUAAAUUUGAAUUUGAAUUGAAUUUGUUUUUAUUGUUAGAUCCAAAUAUUUGAAUUUGAAUUAUUAAUUAUGGCAGUUAUUUGUCCUUGAUUUUAGGUUUCCUUAUUAAUGUGAAUUGUAUUAUUUUUGUAAUAUGGGUCCUAAUUACAUUCUUUUUGUAAUUAUUUGGUUGAUGCACUUUUCUUGUAAUUACUUUCUUUUUGUUGUAUACUUAUGUAAAGAACCCAAAGGAAUAACCAUCUUCACUUAUAAGAAUUUCAGAGAAUAAGUGACAUUCAAUGGCAGAUGAAGUGUCAUGUAAACCGACUACCAUAACCAAUAAUAAUCUGCAAUUAUGAAAAGGAUACGAAAUAUUCUAAAACCUAGAGGCCUCCAAAAAUCCUUUGGAAAGAAGAUUUUUAAAGAGAGAAUAUUAAAAAAACAAACAAAAAUAGAAAGCAAAAGAUUUUAAUUCACAAGACUCAAAUUUUGAUAGGUCUAAUAACUAACUGGAGAUAAGUCACCUAAUAUAAGAUAGGUCUAUUAACCAAGAUUUAUUAUCAAGAAAUGUUUUCUCAAAACUCUUCAAAAGAGUAAAGGGAACCAGAGUUUCAAGGGAGUAAGCUAAGUCGACUUGUUGAAAUCUCUCAAAUCUAUUAACCAAUAAAUGUUAUCAAGAAACAAUCUCAAAACUCUGUCAAAACAUUUCACAGUAUUAUAGUUCCAAGGGAAGUAACUAAUUCAGACUUGUUAGAACCUUUGCUCUUAUAAAUCUCGUAAAUGCUAUAUUACCAUGAAUUUAUAUUAUUGGUAUUAGAGUUCCAAGGGAGGCAAGCCAUAAGCUUCGCUUUAUAUUAUUGUUAAUUUGAAAUGUCCUUACCGGUUAAAGACUGGUAUUGAGCACCAACCAUUUGAUUCCCACAUAAGGCAAGUAUUUUAGCAUUUUAUGUUUUCAAUAAACAUUUAGCACCUAGUACUCUUCUUGGUAAAAGGCAAUUGAUCAAGGAACAAAAAGUACAAUUCUUUCCCAAACUCCCACAAUUAUCAAUCACUUUUAUGAAACCAUUAUAUGAUAUCCACCAUUAGCAGGCACACGAGACCUACCCAAACACUCCCCCCCCCUAAACAAUCAUAUUAUACAGUUGUGGCAUGAAAUGCCCUUGUUACAAACUUCUGAAUAGAAAAACCACAAUUUAUAGGGACAUACUUAGAACUUAUGUAUUGAUGUUGGUCAAAUAUGAAGGCCUACAUUUGAACUGUAUACAGACUUUAGAUUUCCACAGAUAUAGUAAUGAAAAGGAAAACAAAUGAAAAGGAAAACGAAAUAAAACAUUCUUCUAAAUGAACACACUUUUCUUCUAUUUUCUGAAAACUUGAACUCAAGGAACCAUUCUUCAAUAAAAAGAAGUUAUUUUUCUUUGAUUUUCUGAAUAGAAACGUAGCAUAAAAGAACGAUCUUGGCAUUUAAAUGAAAAUCUUAACCAAGUAUAAAUCAAAAGGCAAGGUUAAGUUUGAACAGAUGUCAAAUCCCCUUGGCUGUCAAAAAAAUCCAAAACAAAGACUACAAAAUAAAAGCAUCAAAUCUCAAUAUACAAUAUCAAUUAAGGGAAAUUUUCAUCCACAACCGAGAUCAGAAAUUCUUAUAUAAUCACUUUGAAGCUNNNNNNNNNNNNNNNNNNNNNNNNNNNNNNNNNNNNNNNNNNNNNNNNNNNNNNNNNNNNNNNNNNNNNNNNNNNNNNNNNNNNNNNNNNNNNNNNNNNNUUAUUUAUUGACGCUUGAAGAGCUUCUUUCGGUUGUACGAGUGAGAGCAGGCAUCUGUAUCCUGCGAGUCUGCAUAGUUUAAAAACGUCUCAAAAUUUGUUCGUUUUCAAUUGUUGAAAAAAUAUCCUUCUCAAUAUAAACUACUAGACUGUCAUUCAUCCACUCGUCUCCCAUUUUGUUACGCAAGCCAGUCUUGACAAUUUUCAUCGCAGAGAAUACUCUUUCAACAGUAGCAGUUGCAACUAGUAAAACCAAAGCUAACUCGAUCAAUCGAAUACCAAUGUAAAAGUCAUAUGUCUUCUUGUUUUAAUUAACUUCUUAGCAAGACUUUCCAAACCCAAAUUUUCGAUCCCAAAAAAUUGACUAUCGCAUCGCAUAUCAUAAAUGUAAUUUUCAAGUUGAUCCCCAAGUAUCAUGCGAUCAGUCAAUGAGAAGUCUUCUGGAUAAAGCUCAGCAAAACGGAGUAAUUUAUUUUUGUCAAAGUGAGAGAACGAAUCCCUUGGAUCAAGGCAUGAUAUGCAUAAAAGUAACUCUGUGCUUGCUUCUGAAAAAUGAUUGUUCAUCUCUUGAACAAUUGAAUCAACAAUCUACAAAUCAUUUGUGAUUCCCAAUAUAUAUUUUAUCAAAUGCAUCACAAAUACAAAUUCAUAAUUCUCCAUCUUAUGAAUCAAACUUAUGGCAAUACCGCUAUUAUCAUCAGAAGCACCAUCAUCAUGCACAUUUUCAAGCACUUGUAAAACGGAAGUCCACAUAGACAUAAGACGGAUUAUAGUUAUGUAAUGUGACCCCCAACGAAUAUCUCAUGGCUGUCUUAAACUGAUUUCUUAAUUUUUUCCUUUACCACUAACUAUCUCUCCCUUUUCCAAACACUCCACGAUCCUAUCAUGUUCAAGCUGUCUAAGUUUAUCUUUCCUUUUACAUGAUGCUCCAGCCACAUUCACAAUCAUAGUAAAAUAUUAAAAAAAAUCACUCACAAUACGGCUGCUCUUGGCAACAGCAACAACUAAUUGGAGUUGGUGAGAAAAACAAUGGACAUACCUUGCAUAUGAAUUUUCUUUUAAAAUAAGAGCCUUCAAUCCAUUGAACUCGCCUCGCAUAUUUGAAGCCCCAUCAUAUCCUUGACCUCUCAACCUCGAUAAUGACAAUUUAUGCUUUGCAAAUAAUUCAUCAAUAGCAUUCUUUAAAGAAAUAGAUGACGUGUCAGGCACAUGUACCACACCAAAAAACCUUUCAAUCACAUCUCCAUGGUUGUUUACAUAUCUCAAAACAAUUCCCAUUUGCUCCUUUAUUAAUUGAAACAUCACAAGACUCAUCAACCAUAAUAGAAAAUGCUUUUUGGGGAUAAUUAUGGGCAAUUGGUUGACAUGGACCUCUAGUCAAAUACUCUCUUCGAACUUGAUCUCUAAUCACAAUAGCAAAGUCUUCAAUUGAUUUACGUAACCCCGGAUCACUAACAAUAUCAUUCGGAUUGAACUCCACACGUGAAUUAUUAAAAUCACCACUUGCUUCGGAACUUGGUAUUUGAUUAUUAAAAGAAUCAGCAGUUCUUUGUCGCUUAAUCAAGUAUUUAUCCAUAAUCUAGUAUAAAUAAAAACAUCAAUUACUAAUCAAUAAUUUCAUUAAUUUAAACACUUGGGAUAAUAUGAGAUCAACACUUGGGAUAAUAUGAGAUCAACACUUUAAGAAAGGCUUUCUUAAUUUAAGGUAUUAAACCAUCUUAAUUUUUAUAAUUAAAAAUAAAAUCAAUUAUUCCUAAAUUAACAGAAAAUCAAUUAAAAAUAAAAUCAAAUUUUAUUCUUUUUCUUAUAUCUCUAAAUUUAUUUGUCAAUUGUCAUCAUCAAAAUUACAUACAAAGUGGAGACCUAAUUAACAGAGAACAUUAAUAGUAUGCAUAUUUAGGCUAAAUUAAAAUCAAUAGUAUCAAAUUUGAAAGACAUUUAGACUAAAUUAAAAUUAAAAAUUAAUUAAAUUACUUACCAAAUAACCAAAACAAAGUCCAAAAUAGAGGAGCAGAUCAGCCGAAGUGUGAACAGAUCAGCCGAAGUGUGGCGGGCGGCGGGCNNNNNNNNNNNNNNNNNNNNNNNNNNNNNNNNNNNNNNNNNNNNNNNNNNNNNNNNNNNNNNNNNNNNNNNNNNNNNNNNNNNNNNNNNNNNNNNNNNNNUAUAGGCACAUACUUAGAACUUAUGUAUUGAUGUUGGUCAAAUAUGAAGGCCUACAUUUGAACUGUGUACAGACUUUAGAUUUCCACAGAUAUAGUAACGAAAAGGAAAAUAAAUGAAAAAGAAAACGAAACAAAACAUUCUUCUAAAUGAACACAUGCUUUUCUUCUAUUUUCUGAAAACUUGAACUCAAGGAACCGUUCUUCAAUAAAAAGAAGUUAUUUUUCUUUGAUUUUCUGAAUAGAAACGUAGCAUAAAAAAACGAUCUUGGCAUUUAAAUGAAAAUCUUAACCAAAAGGCAAGGUUAAGUUUGAACAGAUGUUAAAUCCCCUUGGCUAUCAAAAAAAUCCAAAACAAAGACUACAAAAUAAAAGCAUCAAAUCUCAAUAUACAAUAUCAAUUAAGGGAAAUUUUCAUCCACAACCGAGAUCAGAAAUUCUUAUAUAAUCACUUUGAAGCUGGCCAAAAACAAAAUCAAUUAUACAUACAAGUACAUAUAAUAAACGGGCAGAUUAUAUAUAUCACCAAAAAUAUUAAAGUUAAAUAAAAAAACUUACUUGGAUAAGAUUUUGCAACUCGGCGGGGUUCUGAUAAGUAGAAUUCAUUGUUUUGCGUCUUGAUUUCACACUCCAGAUAGAUAUUUUUUAGUUUCUAAUUUUGAAGGUAUGAUUACAGAUUCAGGGGAAAUUAGGGGAUUAUAUUUAGGGUUUUUACGAUGUCAGUUGUUUUUU